UAUUGCUGAUCUACUGGGAUGGAUAUUAUUACAGAACAUUGCGAUGCAUCCGCAAAAAUCAGGUAUUGGGUCCAUGCAUUUUCAAAAUAUAAAUUUGUGAGAUCAAAGGAGAAGAUAUAAUAAAGGCAACAUAGCGACACCGAGGUGUGUUUGAAGAGCUAUUCCGGUGGCCAGUGAGGCAAUUGAAUAUCUGCACACUAGCUAUUAUAUGAAGUAGCCAUUUCCAUGCCAAGUUGUGCAGACUCUUGGAAACCACACAGAUUCCCCGAGGACAGAUGCUACUGGGCGAGUGUGAGAGAAACACCCUGUGUCUGCCACGUAGCCGUCUUCUCAACAGGCAGCACUGAAGCGAUAUAGCCAGACAUGUUAGAACAUACCCUAACCUUUGAUACUGCAGUCAUGUGGCAUGUGAUGUUUGCAGAAUUCAGCGGUCACCCAAUCCAAGCAGGAACCCAGCUCAACACUAACAACCAGUUUAUACAUGUAGCUAUAGCUUAUAGAGCACAUUUAGUGCUAAAUAAACAAUUAUAGUAUCCAUGCCAAAGAUACAGACAAACUGCAACAAUUAUAGUCUUUUCAAAUGCUGUGAUAACCAGUCUGGAAGAACUGGCCAUGCCAGUCAGAGAGAUAUGCCUAACACUGGAGAUGGAAAUUUCAGUAAAUGCUGUAUGUAGUAAACAAAUUGUCCUACAUGUAUACUGAUGUAAUCACAGGGCAGCCUAUAAUACUAUGUGAAAAUGAAAAAGAUUAUUUGUGGAACAAGUGACAUUCAUGAAUUAUUUAAUUGAAAUAGUCCUAACGAUACUGGAGUUGGCUUUCAUAUAUUGGAAUUAAAAAAAAAAAAUUGGCAAACACGGUAUGCAUGAUGCACACUAUUUCUCACCUGCCGUAAGUUCUAUUUGUGUGUUGAAUAUCGGUGCAUGUGGCGUGCACAUUCACAUUGUCAGAAGUGCAACAGCUGUCGGGGAUGCAGUAACUCAUUUUGAAAAUGUCAACUGCCAUUAAGAGCUGAUUAAACAAGGGUGUAUUGAUAAAAACGCCCUUCCAGGAAAAUGAAUGUUCAACACCUUAGCACACUGUUUUAUCACAAGACAUAUGGUAUUAAAGAAGCAUUCCACAAGGAAAAGAUAAAGCACAUUUUAAAUUAUGGCCAUUAGGUGUCUAACACAUGAUUAUUUAACAUUUUGUUGAGAGGGAUAGAGAGGAAACCCUCUCCCACCUCAUAGACUACUCAUACUGAUAAAACAGCAAGGCAAGGCAAGGCUUCUAGAUUAUGGUAGCCCCACUCCCAUGGCUAGUGAUAUUCAGUGUUGGGCUAGUAAAUAACUACUAUUGCCAUGCCCGGUGGCUAGUGAAAUGUUUUUGUCAAAUGUAGUUAAGUCUGUUUUGUAAAUAUGAAUGUGCUGCCCCCACCUCAAGCCCCCAAUGUUAGUGUUUUAAGCUAUAUCUUCCUUUUUAGGUCACACGUACAUCCAAUUAUUACUGUAAUAUUUAGUAAAAUUGUAUUAACUUAAAAUAAAGUUGGGCUAGUAAAUUUUUAAUUGUGGCUAGUAAAUUUUUGUAAUCACUGAUCCCAUAGCUAGUGAAUUUUAUAAAAAAUUCCAUGAAACCCUGAUCAAGGAAACUUUUAUAUGCACUAAUUCCCAGCCUUUGUUGUACCAGUCAUAAAGCAACCUAUGUUACUUUGUGAAAAUGAAGAACAUGGUAUGGGGAACAAGUGACAUUCCUGAAUUAUUCAUAAUUUAUAAUGAUGACAAGUACAUGUAUAAUCUGAAUGAUCAUUGUUUGACUACGUGGAGGUAGUGUGAAUAAGAUAUUGCUGUUAUGUUGCACUAUACUAUAUACACGGUCUGAAAAUCUUAUUACAUGUUUAAAAUCACUUACAAAACAUUGAUAAAAACAUUCCAAGUUAUUGUAUUAAAAACAGAACAGAUAUAACAUAAAUUUGUUAAGUGUCAUAUCGGUCGUAUCUAUGGUUUAUUUUCAUUGAUUUAAAAAAACCCACCAAUUUUUUGUAUCAGCAUCAAAUUAAAGCUCUUUCUUCUCCCUAUGUACAUGUAAUAACUAGGGAUAGGUAUUAUGAGAAUUUUUUUUAUCAAAUUUACUAUUUAAAGUGUAAAAUAUGUAGAUCACUUUGUGUAUUAUAUCUUAUAUGUACAUGAAUCUCAUGGAAUAAACAUUUUUGGUGCACUGUGAUGAACAUCCAUAGGUUCAAAAAUAAACCAACUUUCACUGACCUAGGGUGUCUAGAGUGUGAGAAACUCAUCUAAAUACAAACAUUUAACACAAACGUCGACACUGUCACCAUUGGAAAAGUAAUGCUUAUAUCUCACCGUUUCAUAUUGUAAAUGCAAGACAAUAAUGCCAUGCCUUCCUUUUAUCACAUCUUUAAACAGUUAAGAAAAUCAGUUGAAUCUAAAAGAUCUUAGUUUUCGAUUGAUGAGGAAGGAAGGAUAUGUUUUAUUUAACGAUGCACUCAACACAUUUUAUCUGAUUAAUGAGAACUCGAAAUAUGGAAAUUAACAGGUUUAUCAUAAUUUAUUACCCCAGCAGGCUUUCAUAAUGGGGUAAAUAAAAAUCGUAAUUUCUUGGUGAGAAAUUAUUAAAUUAUGCAUUCAUGUAACAUACAAUAUAAUUACAAACUAAUGACUUUGUCGGUACUAAAUAUAACAUGAUCACAGUUUAGCAAACCUACACAAUGACGUCAUGUAGUUUAAAGAGUUUGCAUUUACACAUCUGUUUUUAUUGUUAAAUUUGUAAUAAAAUCUCAUUACAGAUGUUUUGAACAACAAAGAGAACCGUUUCUCUUUUUCAAAUUAUCUGGGAAUGUGAAUAACAUGCAAAGCUAUAGUAAUACUGAGAACAGUAUAUAAAGUGGUUUACAUCUCUUUGUACAUUGUUGUUGGAUAAAGAAAAUUAAAGCUUUUAGAGAAAAAAAGUACAUGUAUUUCACUCAGGACAUAAAUGUGAUAACUGGCAACUCAUUUAUUAUCCUCUAUAUAUACAUGUAUUAUUUACCUUUGAAUCAUAUGGGAAUACAGAUAAUUAAAGGGACAUUCCUGAGUUUGCUGCAUUGUAAGAUGUUUCCGAAAACUAAAAUAUUUCUACAAUUAAACUUACAUAUUAAAUAUAUUUUCUUGUUUAGAAUAUCAGUG